rnacentral:rRNA from 1 species
CCUACGGGAGGCAGCAGUAGGGAAUCUUUCACAAUGGGCGAAAGCCUGAUGGAGCAACGCCGCGUGCAGGAUGAAGGCCUUCGGGUUGUAAACUGCUUUUAUAAGCGAGAAAUAUGAUGGUAACUUAUGAAUAAGGAUCGGCUAACUACGUGCCAGCAGCCGCGGUCAUACGUAGGAUCCGAGCAUUAUCCGGAGUGACUGGGUGUAAAGAGUUGCGUAGGUGGCAUAAGAAGUAGCUAGUGAAAUCUGGUGGCUCAACCAUUCAGACUAUUAGCUAAACUGUUAAGCUCGAGACCGUUAGGAGUAACUGGAAUUUCUAGUGUAGGAGUGAAAUCCGUAGAUAUUAGAAGGAACACCAAUAGCGUAGGCAGGUUGCUGGGACGGUUCUGACACUAAGGCACGAAAGCGUAGGGAGCAAACGGGAUUAGAUACCCGGGUAGUC